CCUACGGGAGGCAGCAGUGAGGAAUAUUGGUCAAUGGACGAGAGUCUGAACCAGCCAAGUAGCGUGAAGGAUGACUGCCCUAUGGGUUGUAAACUUCUUUUAUAAAGGAAUAAAACGAGGCACGUGUGCCUUUUUGCAUGUACUUUAUGAAUAAGGAUCGGCUAACUCCGUGCCAGCAGCCGCGGUAAUACGGAGGAUCCGAGCGUUAUCCGGAUUUAUUGGGUUUAAAGGGAGCGUAGAUGGGUUGUUAAGUCAGUUGUGAAAGUUUGCGGCUCAACCGUAAAAUUGCAAUUGAUACUGGCAGUCGUGAGUACAGUUGAGGUAGGCGGAAUUCGUGGUGUAGCGGUGAAAUGCUUAGAUAUCACGAAGAACCCCGAUUGCGAAGGCAGCUUACUAAACUGUGACUGACAUUGAUGCUCGAAAGUGUGGGUAUCAAACAGGAUUAGAUACCCCGGUGUC
rnacentral:rRNA from 1 species